AGUCCCCGGAGCCGCGAGCUGGGAGCGCUGUGCUGGGAGCCGGGAGCCGAGCGCGCCGGGCUGGGGCCGGGGCCGGAGCGGAGCGGAGAGGGAGCGCGCCCGCCCCAGCCCCGAGUCCCGCCGCCUUCCCUCCCGCCGCCGCGCGGGCCCAGCGGCCGCCGCCCCAGCCAUGGAGCAAGACAACAGCCCCCGAAAGAUCCAGUUCACGGUCCCGCUGCUGGAGCCGCACCUUGACCCCGAGGCGGCGGAGCAGAUUCGGAGGCGCCGCCCCACCCCUGCCACCCUCGUGCUGACCAGUGACCAGUCAUCCCCAGAGAUAGAUGAAGACCGGAUCCCCAACCCACAUCUCAAGUCCACUUUGGCAAUGUCUCCACGGCAACGGAAGAAGAUGACAAGGCUCACACCCACAAUGAAAGAGCUCCAGAUGAUGGUUGAACAUCACCUGGGGCAACAGCAGCAAGGAGAGGAGCCUGAGGGGGCCGCUGAGAGCACAGGAACCCAGGAGUCCCGCCCACCUGGGAUCCCAGACACAGAAGUGGAGUCAAGGCUGGGCACCUCUGGGACAGCAAAAAAGCCUGCAGAAUCCAUCCCUAAAACUCAGAAGAGAGGCAGUAAGGAACCCAGCACAAAGGAAGCCUCAACUCAUACACAACCAUUGGAUUCCAAGGGGGCCAACUCGACAAAAAGAAAUGGAUAGCUGCAGCAAGAAGGAUUGAGAUUAGACUUUGUGUAGGACUUCUGGCUCCCGGAAUGGGUCUGAGAGAGGAGGAGGUAUCUUGGGAUCAAGACUGCAGUUUGGGAAUGCAUGGACACCGGAUUUGUUUCUUAUUCCUUCACUUUUGGGGAAAAUCUCUUGUUUUUAAAAAGUGAUAAAUUUGGUGUUAGGUC